GAUGAAGAACGCAGCGAAAUGCGAUAAGUAGUGUGAAUUGCAGAAUUCAGUGAAUCAUCGAAUCUUUGAACGCACAUUGCGCCCCAUGGUAUUCCGUGGGGCAUGCCUGUUCGAGCGUCAUUUACCCCCUCAAGCUCCGCUUGGUGUUGGGCGUCUGUCCCGCUUCGCGCGCGGACUCGCCCCAAAGGUAUUGGCAGCGGUCGCGCCAGCUUCUCGCGCAGCACAUUGCGCUUCUCGAGGCACCGGUGGGCCCGCGUCCAUCAAGCUCACCCCCCCAGUUUGACCUCGGAUCAGGUAGGGAUACCCGCUGAACUUAAGCAUAUCAAUAAGCGGAGGA
rnacentral:misc_RNA from 1 species